rnacentral:miRNA from 1 species
AAGCAGCGACUCUGGUCAUGGA